rnacentral:lncRNA from 1 species
UGAGUGACGGACGCCAGGGACGCCGGUUUGAGGAACUGGAGGGGCAGAGAGAGACAUUUUCUAGAAGAUGGUUAAAGCUAAGAGGAAUCAAUGAGUUUUGUGGAGAUGCAGAUUGGGUUCAUCAAAUAUGAGAAUUAUAUAUAUAGGGUUUACAGAAGGGCUACAAAUCAGGAACAUUUAUGAUCAAGCGAUUUAAGAUGGAGAGAUGAAGAGUUCACCGAUGAAA